rnacentral:lncRNA from 1 species
GUCGUCGUUUAGUGACUUUUUCUUUUACUAUCUCGUGAUGUCGCUUUUAUAUUGCGCUCAUUAACGAAGGAGGAACUUCUGGGCCGGAUAUGAUGCGUCAUACGGGAGGAACUAAUUCAACAGCAACCUACUGCAACACAACCUCAGUGAUCCCUUUGUUUCAUUUGCGGACGGACGUGAUUCGUAGUGUUGGAGGAUACCGUCUUCAAAUGCUUCCGCACAACAGUGAAAAGCAGUGCCGAAGUUCCUUCUCGACAACGCGCUCUGUGGCGAGGAGAAAUUCUUUGAAGUCCGGGCACAUCGGGAAGUCGGCACAUUGCCCCAAGACCAACGGACGCCCGGCAAUCGGCAGCGCGGCACAUCGCCACAAGACGGACGGACGCGUGUUUUUCGUGCCAAAGAAAACCUGUUUUUUUUCAGCCUCUUCCUCUGCAGAUGACGUUGGUGAUUAAUAUCUGUGAGCAGCACUGACCUAUGCCUGAGUGAAGAGACAUAUAAGUAGGUGCAGAUUGGUGUAGGCUUUGUGCUGCCUUAUAACAGUGGCAGUAUAUUUAAAGUGUACAUCAGAUGCCAAGUGUGCAAUAGAUGUGGGCCUGUGGACACCAGCAGAAGCUGGGGAAAGACGCCUGACUGGGCAGGCCUGCCGCACAGUUUGGAUUCAACCAGAAAGCUUGUGGCAACACCGGAGAAAGUGGCUGCUGUGAAGAGUGCAGAUUGGUGUGGGAUUUGUGAUGCCACUCAACAAGUGGCAUUACAUACUAAAGUGUACCUCCGAAGCCAAGUGCGCAUUAGGUCUGGCACAGCACCUGUGGACACCAACACAAGCUGGGGAAAGAAGCCCGACUGGGCCGGCCAGCCGGACUAUCUCUGAUGCAUCUGGGAAGCUUCUGGCAACACCAGAGAAAGUGGCUGCUGUGAAGAACUGCCUGGAGAAGUACAUCGGGGAACAUCCGAUGGGGCCACCAGCACCACCUCCAGAGCACCACCUUGCUUCUGUAACGAAGCACCUUUGGAGCUUCUUCACAGAAGCGUGCGCGAG